rnacentral:rRNA from 1 species
GUGAGGAAUAUUGCGCAAUGGAGGCAACUCUGACGCAGCCAUGCCGCGUGCAGGAAGAAGGCGCUACGCGUUGUAAACUGCUUUUAACCGGGAAGAAACCCCAGGACGUGUCCUGGGUUGACGGUACCGGAGGAAUAAGCACCGGCUAACUUCGUGCCAGCAGCCGCGGUAAUACGAAGGGUGCAAGCGUUAUCCGGAUUCAUUGGGUUUAAAGGGUGCGUAGGCGGAGCGUUAAGUCAGUGGUGAAAUCCUGCAGCUUAACUGUAGACUUGCCAUUGAUACUGGCGCUCUUGAGUGCACUUGAAGUGGGCGGAAUGUGCCGUGUAGCGGUGAAAUGCUUAGAUAUGGCACAGAACACCAAUUGCGAAGGCAGCUCACUAAGGCGAUACUGACGCUGAGGCACGAAAGCGUGGGGAUCGAACAGGAUUAGAAACCCGUGUAGUCC